AGAACGAACGUUAGCGGCGCGCCUAACACAUGCAAGUCGAGCGAGAAAGGGAGCAAUCCCCGGUACAGCGGCGCACGGGUGAGUAACACGUAGGUAACCUACCCUCGAGUGGUGGAUAACCUUCCGAAAGGAGGGCUAAUACAGCAUGAGCCCACGGCGCCGAGAGGCGCAGGGGGAAAAGCCGGCCUCUUCAUGAAAGCUGGUGCUCGAGGAUGGGCCUGCGGCCCAUCAGCUAGUUGGUGAGGUAAUGGCUCACCAAGGCAGAGACGGGUAGCUGGUCUGAGAGGAUGAUCAGCCACACUGGAACUGAGACACGGUCCAGACUCCGUACGGGAGGCAGCAGGUGGGAAUCGUGCGCAAUGGCGAAAGCCUGACGCAGCGACGCCGCGUGAGUGAUGAAGGCCGUCGGUAGUAAGCUCGUGGUAGGAGGGAAGAAGUAAGG
rnacentral:rRNA from 1 species